UACAGAGGUCUCAAGCGUUGUUCGGAUUCAUUGGGCGUAAAGCGCGCGUAGGCGGCCCGGUAAGUCCGUUGUGAAAGUCAAAGGCUCAACCUUUGAACGCCGAUGGAUACUGCCGGGCUAGAGUCCGGAAGAGGCGAGUGGAAUUCCUGGUGUAGCGGUGGAAUGCGCAGAUAUCAGGAGGAACACCAAUAGCGAAGGCAGCUCGCUGGGACGGUACUGACACUGAGGCGCGAAAGCGUGGGGAGCGAACAGG
rnacentral:rRNA from 1 species